GCGCUCUUAGCUCAGCUGGAUAGAGUACCUGGCUACGAACCAGGCGGUCGGAGGGUCGAAUCCUCCAGGGGGCCCCC
rnacentral:tRNA from 1 species